GGCAACAUCUCCUAGCUUUGGACUGACUGCUUGCUUUUGUAACGCUUUAAUGAUUUUUGUGAAGUAAUCUAAAAACCUUUUGCCUUGGACUCUGCAGAGGACUGUCAGUGCACUUCAGUGGUGCGCAGAGACAGCUAGCAAGGACUAGACUUGGUUCAGAAGAGUAUGGCCUCACGUUAGAUGAAGGCAGAAUCAUGGGAUGGCUCUGUCUCUACCUCAUACAGAAACAUUUCUCUUUUUAUUUGGGCUUCACACUAUUCCUGGGGCCUCUGGGCUCCUGUCCAGGCCAAGAUACUUCACAAUUGACUUUGAUUUUCUGAGGUAAGUGAUCUGUCGCUUUCAGAGCAGUUA
rnacentral:lncRNA from 1 species